AUAUAUAUUUUUUACAUUAGAGAAAGUAGUAAAAAAAUAAUGGGAGAAAUGACACAAAAUUGACAGCUCCCGAAUUGAAAAGUUAAUGGAAAAUUGUUUAAUACGGCCGUUUUUUAUUUUUUUUAACAUUAGAGAAAGUAGUAAAAAAAUAAUGGGAGAAAUGACACAAAAUUGACAGCUCCCGAAUUGAAAAGUUAAUGGAAAAUUGUUUAAAACGGCCUUUUUUUUUUAUUUUUUUUAACAUUAGAGAAAGUAGUAAAAAAAUAAUGGGAGAAAUGACACUAAAUUGACAGCUCCCGAAUUGAAAAGUUAAUGGAGAAUUGCAAAAGACCUAACAGAACGAAUAGAAUAACAACGAUUUUCAUAACUGCAGUACGUAUAGAGAUUCAGCGCAUCUUAACAAGCAGUCCUCACCAGUACAUUACAAGAGAUGAAAGUAAGUCUGUCAAACCUAAAUAUGCAGGGAUCUUAUGUUCUUAUGUUCUUAUAUUCUUUUAGCUACCCAGGUCGUUGUGUUCUUGGUUAUAUCAUUCUCUCUCCUGACAUCUUCGGUUUCACGCUGCUUCACCUCCAUCGUAAAGUCUCGGUACCUAUGAAUUUGUUACUUGUUGAGCAGCGCGGAUCAGAGAGUGGAGUAUCAAGACACCUCCCGAACCAUUUCUGAACAAUCUUUCUUCUUUACAGGGGGAUGGUAGUUCUUGCCUGCUUUCCCCUCGUUAUUUUUUAGUGCUUUUUUUGGUUACGUAAGCAGCGUGAAGCAGAGAAAAAUAUCAAAAUAUGUUACGAACCGUUUCCUUGUAAUCUUUUGCAAUUCACCAUUAACUUUUUAAUUCGGGAACUGUUACGUUUGUGUCAUUUCUCUCGUUAUUUUUUCACUACUUUCUCUAAUGUUAAAAAAAGCCGUAUUAAACAAUUCUUCAUUAACUUUUCAAUUCGAGAGCUGUCAAUUUUGUGUCCUUUCUCCCGUAACUUUUUGACUACUUUCUCUAAUGCUAAAAAAGAAGCCGUAUUAAAACAAGUAUUUGACGGGGCACUGUACUUACACGUGGCCCGCUGAGGUUCAAGGCCGUGGGUGAUAGUAGUCGUAUGGGGGAGUUCCGUUGACGGGGCCCAGUGCCGUUAUGUAAUGCGAGGGAGGCGUGAAAAGGCGUUAUGUAAUGUUUUGGUCACGAAAACUACCAACCAAACCAGCAGACUAAACCUGUGUGUGUAGCGCAAUCACAUGCACCGUGACUUUCACCCCCUGAUAGCUUAUCGAUACUCAUACAAAAUAUGUAUAAAUCUGACCGCCCCGCCGUGGAUAGAACAGUUCCGGGCUUGAGGCGAUACAGAACACACGCUCGCUCGCUCCCUCCCUCCGCCAACAGGUGUCCACGUCUCGAUAGGACUGUAGAACUCUGGGCAGCGCCACAGCGAUCAGACGUUCAGUGACUUUGUGCACGAGCUGGCAGCCACACUCCUUGAGCCUGACGGAGCAGCAGCCACACUCCUGAAGGAGCCUGGACCCCUGGACCAGUAGCAGCCACACUCCUGCACAGCACAUCCUGACGCAGCACUAGCAACAUACCGCCGGCGAAGCUUAGCUAGCGACAACCACUCCUGAAGCUUGACCCAACAACACUGCUUGAGUCUUGAGGGACAUCCACGCCCCUGACACAGCAUUGAGGACUCCUGCACCUCCCGACAAGUAGCGACCCCGUACACUUUACGUCCUUCACGGCCUACAGCGGCGACAUUCAGCCUACCAGCCAGUUGAAACUCGUGAUGGAGCGCCACAACCCGCCCCGCACCGCCAGCCUGCCGGUCAGCGUGCCCCCAGCCAGAUGGAACCUCUCCUCCGUCGGGGGCUCCUCCACCCGCAGGAAGGCAUGCCACGCAGCCACCGGCCAGACACCUUCCACGCCCACCCCGCCCUCCACACCCGUGCGGGGAGGCAGCUGGUGGUGCAACAGCUGCAGAAGACCAAGAGAAGAGUGCGAGUGUUUGUGUGUCAUCUCCUAAGUGCCUCCUGGGCCGCCGUGUGUUGAGGCGGCGCUCCUUUCUACUCCUGCUGGUGCCCGUGAGUACAGAUCCUUGUGCCGGGAGGACGGAGCUUGUUAGAUGGCUCCCGCCCCGCCUUGGUGUGUGCUCCGGGGGAUCGAAGCUGGUGUUGAGAUGCAGUAUGAAGGCUCGUGACGCGCGUGUGUGGGUUGAGUGCUUGGUGGGCGCGUGAUCAGUUGACUGCCGCCUGUUACAUGUGGGCGGCAACGUGUGUGUGUGUGUGUGUGUGUGUGUGUGUGUGUGUGUGUGUGACAGAGAGCGAGAACCCUCGUCUUAACAGUAUUGUGAUGGUGCAUUUGGAUCCAGCCGAGAAAUACCAGUUGUCAAUGCAAUUAUUUUUGUACGUUACUUAAGGAUGUUUUAUACGGCUCCAGUUGAGUCCAGAUGUGUUGUGCCCGACGCAGUGCUAGGCGUUCCGCAAGUGUCUUGUCGUCCCCGCCGUGUGCCAAGAAUGUAAUGUGUUGCUCAAGUCAGGUGUUGUAUUGCUUAGCCGAGGCACGGUAUUCACCUUUCCAUACCAUAGUUACUGUAUUUAUUUAGCUCAUACUUCGCGAGUUUGUGUGUGUGGAUGGAGUCAUGGAGUGCGCAGGUUGUCGGAAGAUGAAUGUGUGUGUGUGUGUGUGUGUGUGUGUGUGUGGAGAUGAAAGUGUGUGUGUGUGUGGACAAGGAAGUAAAGUAGGAGGAUAACAUGCAGGAUGCCUACACUGUUUCAAACUCUUGUGCUUAUAUUGGUUUUCAAAGCCGAGGGUGACAUGAUCCUCUCGCCUCCCUACCUUCCCUCCCUCCACACUGUCAAGUUCCUACGUCAGGUGCUGGUGGAGGCGAGGCUGUGACACCCGGGACAGUCCUUCCCCGUGUCGUGAUGCAACCAAUCUUUUAUACUUGUACACCUUUUGUGUAAUUUGUUGAUUAAAAAAAACGCAUAUGAAAA